UGGCGGGUAGCUCAAAGGUAGAGCGCCAAUUUCGCCUGAAAAGGACGCAGAAUCGAGGGUUAUCGUUGAAAAAUAAUCUCCUUGAUUCAUAGGGAUGCGGGUUCAAUUCCUGCUCCGCUAC
rnacentral:tRNA from 1 species